AAUUGGAGGGCAAGUCUGGUGCCAGCAGCCGCGGUAAUUCCAGCUCCAAUAGCGUAUAUUAAAGUUGUUGCAGUUAAAAAGCUCGUAGUUGAAUUUCGGGAUUGACACAUCGGUCGUGCCUUAAGGGGUAUGAACUGGUGUAGUCAAUUUCUCACCUUCUGGAGAACGGCGAUGCCCUUAAUUGGGUGUCACGGGGAACCAGGACCUUUACUUUGAAAAAAUUAGAGUGUUUAAAGCAGGCAUUUUGCUUGAAUACAUUAGCAUGGAAUAAUAAAAUAGGACGGCAUGAUUCUAUUUUGUUGGUUUCUAGGAUCACCGUAAUGAUUAAUAGGGAUAGUUGGGGGCAUUAGUAUUCAAUUGUCAGAGGUGAAAUUCUUGGAUUUAUUGAAGACUAACUACUGCGAAAGCAUUUGCCAAGGAUGUUUUCAUUAAUCAAGAACGAAAGUUAGGGGAUCGAAGACGAUCAGAUACCGUCGUAGUCUUAACCAUAAACUAUGCCGACUAGGAAUCAGACGAUGUUAAUUUUUUAAUGACUCGUUUGGCACCUUACGGGAAACCAAAGUGU
rnacentral:rRNA from 1 species